rnacentral:rRNA from 1 species
GAUGAACGCUGGCGGCGUGCCUAAUACAUGCAAGUCGAGCGAAUGGAUUAAGAGCUUGCUCUUAUGAAGUUAGCGGCGGACGGGUGAGUAACACGUGGGUAACCUGCCCAUAAGACUGGGAUAACUCCGGGAAACCGGGGCUAAUACCGGAUAACAUUUUGAACCGCAUGGUUCGAAAUUGAAAGGCGGCUUCGGCUGUCACUUAUGGAUGGACCCGCGUCGCAUUAGCUAGUUGGUGAGGUAACGGCUCACCAAGGCAACGAUGCGUAGCCGACCUGAGAGGGUGAUCGGCCACACUGGGACGGAGCCACGGCCCAGACUCCUACGGGAGGCAGCAGUAGGGAAUCUUCCGCAAUGGACGAAAGUCUGACGGAACAACGCCGCGUGAGUGAUGAAGGCUUUCGGGUCGUAAAACUCUGUUGUUAGGGAAGAACAAGUGCUAGUUGAAUAAGCUGACACCUUGACGGUACCUAACCAGAAAGCCACGGCUAACUACGUGCCAGCCGCCGCAGUAA